rnacentral:misc_RNA from 1 species
UGAGCUGGAUUUAGAGGAGACAAACAGAUUGGGUUAUUUCGGGUUGCAUUUUGAUUUGGGUUACCAAAUGGGUUGUUAUACAAAAAAAUAUUUUGGGUCAAUUUGCGGGUUACAGGUCAUUUUGGGUCAAAGUAUUAUUUCAAUUUUCGGUUCAAAAUUUCGAGUUAAUUAUCAACCUAAACUAAACAGGUUGGCUUCAGGUCUGGUCAUUGGGUUGACCCUCAGUUUUUUCGGUCAUUUGGAUUUUAUGUAGGUUGAAACAGGUUAUUGGUCGCUUUGCUGCCAGGGGUUGCCAGGGGUUGGGUCAAGUCAUAUUUUGCCAACUCUAGCUGGAUUCCAAUGAUUAUUAUUAAUUCAUUAUAUCAUCAUUAUCACCACAAAAGAUUGUCUACAGCAUUCAAUAAUCAGUUAUAACAACCUCCUGUGAUCACAAACUGAA